GUGUGUGUGUGUGUGUGAGAGGGCGUGGAUGGUGAGAGGGGCUGCGAGUGUGUGAGACUGUGCGUGUGAGACUGUAUGUGAGAGACUGAGCGAGAGUGUGAGAGACUGUGUGUGAGAGACCGUGUGUGUGAGAGGCUGUGUGUGAGAGACCGUGUGUGAGAGACCGUGUGUGUGAGAGACCGUGUGUGUGAGAGGCUGUGUGUGAGAGACCGUGUGUGUGAGAGACCGUGAGUGUGAGGCUGUGUGGGAGAGGCUGUGUGUGGGAGAGAGUGGGCUGGCGAGGGAGAGGAGAGCGUGUGUGUGGGGCGUGAGAAGCGCGCGCACACGGUCGCGCUCUCGCGGGUCCGCGGCCGCCUGGCCCCGGGGCUGUGCGGCGGGCGCCUGUCCCGAGCCUCCGGCCGGCCUGUGCGCGUCACCGCCCCUGUCCCGGGCCCCGCGGAGGCUCCGCGCGUGCUGCCUGGCGGGGUUGGUUGGUGCAGCCUUGGGAGCGUCCGGUGGGGUGUCUGCCUUUGUGUGUGUUUCAAUAACUGGGUAAGAAUCCGUCUCUCUCAGGGGAGAGGAAGGGGGACACGACUAGUUUAUGACUUUCUUACUACCUGUGACACUGUGAUUUAUAACAAGAAAUACGUGUUUGGUCUUCAUCCCCAUUGCUGGCACACAGCUCCUAACCCUAGGAAUUUCCUGAGGGAGGAGAGCGUGUCUCUUCUUAUGUACCAGGUGCCUUUGGGAAGUCCCUAGGUAACCCAGCGAGGGGCCUGGUCACCGGGAGACCAACCUGUGCUUAGAAGUUGUAUAUCUUAGUUGCAGGUCCUUCUAGUUGUGGGAUGUGGGACGCUGCCUCAACGUGGCCUGAGGAGCGGUGCCAUGUCCGCGCCCAGCACCGCGCCCAGGAUCCGAACCCUGGGCCGCCGCAGCAGAGCACACGAACUUAACCACUCGGCCACAGAGCCAGCUCCUAGGGGACUAAUCCUAUGGAAGUCCUUUAGAAUAUGUUGUCUGGCUUUUUGGAGAUUCAGGCUUCUUGAUUCUUUCAGGAGUGUAUUGAUUCAUCAUUUAGCAGGUAUUUAUUGAACACCACUAGGCAUUAGGCCGAGGUCAAGUUCUCUACUCUUAAGAAGCUUCCAUUUUAUUCUCUUUCGAAUUCUAGUCUGCUUCUCCUGGCAAAAGCCAAGAGCUUUCACCAGAGGGUGGCCAGAAUCCUCUCAUCCCCACCUAGGACUGAUGUCAGAACCUUUUCUUUUUCUUAGUAUUGUCUCCUUUUCAUUUAGGGAAUGAAUUUCUCUUUGAACUGUUAUUCUUUUGUUCAUAGAGACUUUGGUCUUUCCUGGGAGACUUAGGAAAUCACCCCUUUAAAAAAAGAUCUAAUAGUAGCAUUUUACAUAAAAGAUAUUAUUCAGGUUACAUCACAGACAACACACUUUCAAGCACGUCUUAUGGGACAGGAGGGCUGUUUUCACUCUGCUGCACAAUAUAAAUAAUAUACACUUAAAGCGAUUACUGCCUGUUUCCCGUGGGAAAUGUAAAUUUUUAUUACCUAGGCAAUGAUAACAUGUUGGUCUCAAAUUGUGUGUAGUUCAGGUGUGAUUUUUUGGUAUAUUUGCCUUAUGUUUUCCCAGAAAUUAAGUGGCAAGAAACAGAUGCAUGUCUAAGGAGUGGCCUGUGUCGCGCAAAUGUGUCUCAUGUAGUUGCUAUGGGAACAAGGACUUUUAAUUUCUCACUUUUGCACCUUUAAUAUCUUAUCUUUAAUGUUCUUCCACUCUUAUUUGUAUCCAGA
ensembl:lncRNA